rnacentral:lncRNA from 1 species
GAGAGUGAAAAUUAACUAAGGUAUAAAUUAAUAGCACGACAGUGUGAGAUUUGUACCGAAUAGUAAAAACUGAACAUUAAUUUUAAACACCGCGACAGCUCUUUAAAAUUAAUUAAACUAUAUUAGUUCUCAAAAAGUAUUUUAUAAAUAGAUGUGAGAACGGGAGUGAAGCAUUCACUUAUAUUAUAUAGUAUCAGUUCAAUAGCGCGACGGCGUGAGACUAUAUUUUUAAACUAAUGUUGUUUUGAGAAAACUAGAUCUUUUUAAUUAAAUUGAAUUGAUUUUCAAAAAGUAUUUUUAUAAGUAAGUGCGAGAGCGAAAGUGAAACAUUUAUUUUAUAUCUAUACAUUAUUACUCAAUAGCGCGAGAGUGUGAGACGCGUAUCUUUUAAUCAAUUUCAGUUUAUUAAAAAGUAACAUUAUUUCAAAACGCAGUUUAAUUACCGAAUCCAUUGAAGCAACUUAACUCACAUUCCGGUUAGUUUAAUAA